rnacentral:lncRNA from 1 species
AAAAAUAAAGUGAAAUCAUGAGAAAUUAAAAGUUGAGAGGACCGAUUGGAUAAUUAAUCCAUUUUGCAAAAAAGUGGGGAUCCUACCCGGGCAAUCAGGUCAACGCGCGGAUCCUUGGGGUCACAAAACGAUGCCGUUUUGUCAAGGCUAUAAAAGCCAAUUCCUCAGCCUUUAGUUCAUUUGAAGCCCGUUUUAAAAAAAAACUAAAAAAUCUCUCUGAAAGAAAGAGAGAGGAAGGGAGCUCUAGGCUUUGGCCUCUGUUGGUCACACUUCGCCCACGCGCCCACGCGCUUCCCUAGGACCACCGUAUACGGUAGCCAGGGUUCGAAAAACCUCUCCUUUUUCGUGCCAUCCGUCAGGUAACCCUUUUCUUUUAUUUUUAAGUUAUUUUUGUGUACAUAUAUAUAUAAAUAUUCAUAUGCUUCUAUACUGAAAAUAGAGAAAUGAAAGACAAAAAUAUAAAAACAAGAAUCACCUUUGAAACUGUUUGUAUCCCUUUUUUAUUUCUAUCUGCGUAUCUUUUUUAAGGGUUACAAAGGGCUUUUUAUAGCCAUUGAUUUGUUACAUAAGGAAAGAAAUCUUCGAUUUCUUUCUAUUUCUUGUCUACUGUAUCUUUGGCCAUUAUUUGCUGAGUUUCCUUUUCUAUUUUGCAGGUACUCCGACGAUCUCGACGUUAACGGUGGGACCAAGGCCAGAGGGGAAGCCUGAGAUCGCGGUACUGGAUGAUCGCGAGAGGGACGAAAUUGAUGGCGCUUUGAUGGCCUCGAUCUGGGGAGUUGAACCGACGCUCCCUGAAGCUUCCAGAAGCUGUUGCGGCGCUGUAGGGAAAGAGCUAGGGUUAGAAAGCCCAGCUGAUGGUGUUAGGUUUUGGGCCUCUGAGAGCUUGGGUCAAUUGGGUCUAGUUUAGGUCUGGGCCCGUUGGGUAUUGGGUCCGUAUAUUUGGGCUAGUUUAAUGUAUCUAGGUAAGAUGUAAACGGGCUUAGCUGAAUUGUUUUGGUUUUGGGCCCAUGAUUUGGGCUUUGUAACCUGGACUGUUAAAUAAAUAAACAUUUGUUUAUUAUUUUUUAAUUUUGGUUUUCGGUUUCAAGGCCCGGUCAAAUUUGGGUUAUUACAAUAGGUUUAUUGGACCUUAUGUAGUUCUAGAAAGAGUUGGACUAGUGGCAUAUCAGUUAGCCUUACCACCACAGUUAGAGCGUAUUCAUAAUGUGCUCCACGUGUCCACGCUUAGGAGGUAUCGUUCGAUCCUUCCCAUAUCUUAUCACUUGAGUAAAUAGAAGUGAGCCUAGACUUGUCAUAUGAAGAAGAGCUAAUUCAGAUUUUGGCCCGAAAUAUUAAAGAACUUAGGAACAAGAAGAUCCCCUUAGUAAAGGUCCUGUGAAGGAAUCACAGAGUUGAGGAGGAGUCAUGAAAUUACAGUAUCUGCACAUUUUUUAUUUAGGUAGAUUUCGAGGAUGAAAUUUCUUUUAAGGAGGGGAGAGUUGUAACGGCCCCAAAUUCUUGAGUCAAUGAUCGAGUGUUGACUUGGGUUGGCGGUGGAUAAAUUUAUUUUCAAAUUAGAUUUUGUUGGAAUUAAUUUGGAUGAAUUUUAGACCUUUUUAUAAGAAAUUAAAGAUUUUGGGAAGCUUGUGUGAAGUAGAGGGAAGAUGGAUGGCUAAUAUGGUGAUUUUACCAUUUUUGAAUAAAAAUCUUCUCCCAAUUAAUGAGAAAAGAUGGUUUGCUAGAUUAAGGUAAAGGAUAAAGUGGAUUUGUCCCUAUUUUUCAUUAUAUUAUAAUCACCCUAUUGCUUUUUUUUUUCUUUUUACAUUUCCUCAUCUAUUAUAAUCACCCAUCUAUUUUUCCUUAACAAGUCAUGUAGAGGGAGAGAGAUUUGAGUGAGUUCUCACCAUUUUUUUUAUCUUCCAAUUCUCAAAAAAGGUAAGGGUCUUGAUCUAUUUUUUUUUAAAAGUUCCAUGGAAGAAAAAAUAUAUAUAUCUAUGUUCAUCAAGGAUGAAGGUGGAGGUUUUUGGGUGUUUGGAAGGGUUUGAGUUUGAGGAAGUCUCUACCCAUCUUCUCAUAUUAUUUAUUUAUUUAUUUAAAGUAUGUAUUUUUACAUACUAUCAACUCUUAUUUUUUUUAUUUUUUUUGUGGGAAAUCUUGUGUUUUACAUGGCUAUUAGUUAAAAAGGGUGGUGAAUCUUCUAAAGGGUAAAGGCAAAGUGGUGGAGAGCUAGGCAAGUCACUUUGUUGGUGUUCUUCCAUCAAUGUGGUACCCUCUAACUCUCUUAUACUUCUUAAUAAGUCAUAAAUAUGAUGCUUGUAUGAUAAUACAUGCAUGUUAUAUGUCUUUGGGUGAUUUAAAAUGAAGCUAAAAACUUAGUUGUAAAAUCUGCUAGAAACAGAUUAUUACAUGAAUAGUAAGUUUUAAAAUUUACCAUGAAUUUUGUAAAAAUAAUUAAGAAGUGAUCUAUAUAUUAUUGUAAUCGUGAGUCAGUCUAGUUUCAUUUAGAACAAACAGAGAUCAAUUUCGUUUUGUAUUUUAAAAUAUAUGCAUUUUUGAGUGUUGAAAGGUCAUAAAAAUCUGGUAGCAGAAUUCUUAUAAACCAGAUUUAGCAAUGACUUUGAAAAAUUACCAAAAAUUUCACAAGAUAAAAUAGGAAGUAAGCCUUAUAUCUUUAUAACUUUAUAGAAGUCUAGUUUAAUUUAAAACAAAAAGUGCUCGAUUUAGAGUAUAUAUUAAUAGUUAUUAAUUUUUGAAUGAGAAAAUGUCAGAAUGUCAAGGUAGUAGACUGUCACAUCUCAUUAGUUAAUAUUUUAGCUGGAAUGAUAAGCAAGUUGAAACGAGUAUGAGGCUUGAAUGUCAUGGAUGUAUUUUUUUAAUGAUUAUAUGUUUGAUGCUUUGUUUGCACUCAGCCUUCAAGCUCUAACCUAACUAGUGGCCAUGAGUGGCACGGAGCUAUCUGUACGGCCAUCCCUGCAUUAGAAUACACGAGAAGAAAUGCUAACAGAAUACAACAGAUGACAACAAAUAAAAUGUAUUUUAUUUUUUAUUUUUACUCUAUAAAUUUGGCUAUAAAAGCCGAUGAUUGUACUCCAAAAGGACUUACGCAUACUGUAUCUGUACACACGCACAGAGAAUAGAGAAAAAGCAAUUUAAGAUUAGCAAAGGUGAUUUCAAGCCUUCUUUUGUCCUCUCUUAUGAUUUCUUUUUUUAGUUUAUUUUUUUUCAUUUGGUUCGGAUUUUUUUUAGUAUGUGAGUCAAUCCCAAUGAAAGCCCGAAUACUUCAGAAAUACUGAGGUAAAGGCGAGGGAACAAAUAGUGUUGAAUCUUUGCUUUAUGAACCUAUCUUCGUUUUUUUUUAAAAAUAAUGUGAGAUUUGAAGUUUUUUUUUUAAAUAAAAAAGGGAGGAAGAAAAUACUUACCAAAUUUCUCUAGGCAAAUGGUCGAGCGCCUUCAAUGAAGAGGAUGGGUACUAUCUGCAUGCUGUUGAUCACCAAAACAAUGGUGGUUUGGCUGCUAGCAAAAGAAACCCUAGAAAUUUACUUUCAAGGCUAUGAUUUUCGGCUAAAAAAUGGGCCUGCGUUUGAGAUGGGAAAUGGGGAAGGAAAGGUUUUAAAUAGCCUUUUAACAAAGCAGUGAUGUUUGCAUAAAUAAAGGCCCACGUGUCAACUCAUUUGACAGGCCCAGUCUGCGCAUUAUCACUCAAAAAUGGGGAAUUUUCGUGGCGGGUCCUUUCCCUUGCGCACAAUAUUCAAUUGACGCCCAAUUUGCUUACCUUAUGUUUUAAAAUUUGGCCUUCUAAUUUGUGUGUUGUUUCAUUUUGAUCUGCGGUUCAUUGCAGUAUUGUGUGGGCGCGAGAUAUUUACAAUUCCAGUCCCCGC